GAUAUGGCUCAGGAUGAACGCUAGCUACAGGCUUAACACAUGCAAGUCGAGGGGCAGCGGGAAGUCAGCUUGCUGACUUUGCCGGCGACCGGCGCACGGGUGAGUAACACGUAUCCAACCUUCCCCGUUACGUCCUGGAAUAGCCGUUUCGAAAGAAAGAUUAAUACCGGAUAGUAUCGAGAGAUUGCAUGAUUACCCCGAUUAAAGAUUCAUCGGUACGGAUGGGAUGCGUUCCAUUAGGCAGG
rnacentral:rRNA from 1 species